rnacentral:rRNA from 1 species
CCUACGGGUGGCAGCAGUGAGGAAUAUUGGUCAAUGGGCGGGAGCCUGAACCAGCCAAGUCGCGUGAGGGAUGACGGUCCUACGGAUUGUAAACCUCUUUUGCCGGGGAGCAAGCGUGCGUUCGUGAACGCGCGUCGAGAGUACCCGGAGAAAAAGCAUCGGCUAACUCCGUGCCAGCAGCCGCGGUAAUACGGAGGAUGCGAGCGUUAUCCGGAUUUAUUGGGUUUAAAGGGUGCGUAGGCGGGAUGCCAAGUCAGCGGUAAAAAUGCGGUGCUCAACGCCGUCGAGCCGUUGAAACUGGGGUUCUUGGGUGGGCGAGAAGUAUGCGGAAUGCGUGGUGUAGCGGUGAAAUGCUUAGAGAUCAUACAGAACACCGAUUGCGAAGGCAGCUUACCAAGCUACUUCUGACGUUGAGGCACGAAAGCGUGGGGAGCAAACAGGAUUAGCCCCAGUAGUC